UUUAGGGAGACCAACUGAAAUUAACCUAAUCCACUUUCACGGUUAAUAUUCAGAUAUCCCUGGUCGUUCGAGGAAAUUGUUGUCGAAGUGCUUUCAAACUAUUACCUAGUUCGGUUGAUGGGCUAUUAGCUCAGUUGGUUAGAGCGCACCCCUGAUAAGGGUGAGGUCUCUGGUUCAAAUCCAGAAUGGCCCACCUUAAUUAGAGGUUAAAAAUGUCUAAUUAGAAAUCCUAAAUUUUUAAUUUGUAAUGUUUAAUUUGUAAUUUCCCAAAGCGUGGGGGUAUAGCUCAGUUGGUAGAGCGCUGCCUUUGCAAGGCAGAUGUCAGCGGUUCGAGUCCGCUUACCUCCACUCUUACCCAACCAGCCGAAAAUCAUAAAACCAAUAAAACCGAAAACCAAAAUCAAAAAUAAAGUCAAAAAACUGUUGCGUUUUUAGCAAUAUGUGAUAGACUAGAAAGAGUGACUAUAAAAGCUCAGCACCUAGAUUCAGCUACUAGCUAAUCGGAAUGCUGGUCUUCCAAGUCCAGCCAGAACCUUGAAAACUGCAUAGAAAUAAGUCAUCAAAAAGUUUGACUGACAUUUACCAGGAAUUUAUUCCUCGUGAAAGUCAAAUCAAGCCGACAAUCAAACAAAAAAAGUGUCAUG
rnacentral:tRNA from 1 species